UGUAAAGAGGGGCUAGGCCCCAUAAAUGGAAUUACAACCCACCACCUAUUAACUCAGCCACCUUUAC
rnacentral:tRNA from 1 species